rnacentral:rRNA from 1 species
AUUGAACGCUGGCGGCAGGCCUAACACAUGCAAGUCGAGCGAGCGGCGGACGGGUGAGUAAUGUCUGGGAAACUGCCUGAUGGAGGGGGAUAACUACGGGAAAGGGUAGCUAAAACAGAAUACCAUCAGAUGUGCCCAGAUGGGAUUAGCUGGUAGGGGGGGUAACGGCUGACCUAGGCGACGAUCCCUAGCUGGUCUGAGAGGAUGACCAUCCACACUGGAACUGAGACACGGGCCAGACUCCUACGGGAGGCAGCAGUGGGGAAUAUUGCACAAUGGGCGCAAGCCUGAUGCAGCCAUGCCGCGUGUGUGAAGAAGGCCUUCGGGUUGUAAAGCACUUUCAGCGGGGAGGCGUUACCCGCAGAAGAAGCACCGGCUAACUCCGUGCCAGCAGCCGCGGUAAUUC